GUCCGUAGGCGGUGUGGUAAGUCGGAAGUGAAAUCUCUGAGCUUAACUCAGAGGCUGCUUUCGAAACUGCCGUGCUAGAGUGUGAGAUAGGCGAGUGGAAUUGCGGGUGUAGCGGUGAAAUGCGUAGAUAUCCGCAGGAACAUCCGAGGCGAAAGCGGCUCGCUGGAUCACAACUGACGCUGAGGGACGAAAGCUAGGGGAGCAAACAGGAUUAGAUACCCUGGUAGUCCUAGCCCUAAACCAUCAGGACUUGGGGUUUGCCCUGUACGGGGCAAGUCCCGUAGCUAACGCGUUAAGUCCUGCGCCUGGGGAGUACGGUCGCAAGACUGAAACUCAAAGGAAUUGACGGGGGCCCGCACAAGCGGUGGAACAUGUGGUUCAAUUCGACGCAACGCGAAGAACCUUACCUGGGCUUGAACCGCACAGGACCAUCUUUGGAAACAGAGACUUCCCGCAAGGGACCUGUGUAGAGGUGCUGCAUGGCUGUCGUCAGCUCGUGCCGUGAGGUGUUGGGUUAAGUCCCGCAACGAGCGCAACCCUUACUCUUAGUU
rnacentral:rRNA from 1 species